AGAUUGAACGCUGGCGGCAGGCCUAACACGUGCAAGUCGAGCGGCAGCACGGGUACUUGUACCUGGUGGCGAGCGGCGGACGGGUGAGUAAUGCCUAGGAAUCUGCCUGGUAGUGGGGGAUAACGCUCGGAAACGGACGCUAAUACCGCAUACGUCCUACGGGAGAAAGCAGGGGACCUUCGGGCCUUGCGCUAUCAGAUGAGCCUAGGUCGGAUUAGCUAGUUGGUGAGGUAAUGGCUCACCAAGGCGACGAUCCGUAACUGGUCUGAGAGGAUGAUCAGUCACACUGGAACUGAGACACGGUCCAGACU
rnacentral:rRNA from 1 species